rnacentral:lncRNA from 1 species
AAAUAUUAAUCUCUUAAACGUUCCAUUCUCGACCUAUCUUCGCUGUUCCAUUCUCGAUUCGACUCCUUGGUUCCAUUUCAAUCCUCCUCCAUCGCUCCCGUUCUCGGUCCUCCAUCGCCGUUCUCGGUCCUCCAUCGCCGUUCUUGGUCCUAAAGAACCAUUGAAUAGCAAGUUAGGGUUUAUUGUUUAUGUAUGUUAUGUUUCUUAUUUCUCAUUUGAAUUUGACUUCUAAACGCUGAGCUAGGUUAGACUUUGUUGUUUUUGAAUACGAUUUUCUUUUGAAUUUCCUCAGUAAUAGUGAGUUAGGAUUUAUUGUUCUUGUGAUCCUUGGGUUAAUGUGUUAGUAUGCUGGAAAUUGAGAUAUUUGUGGCAUUGGG